UGGUAUCAAAUUGUUUUUCUAAUACUUAAUUAUUACUUUUUAUCUUUUUUUAUAUUUUAACUAGAAACACAACAAUUACAAUAUGGUAAGAAAAAACCUUUUGUUUUAUUAAAUGUAAAUCUUUCUUUUAAAAGUUCUUAAUAAUUUGUUUUUUUUUUUUCUUUACUAUUGUAUUUUUUUUAAAUCUGUAUUAAUUUUUUUAGUACAACAACAACCACAAUCAGUGAACUUUCAACAAAUGUUUUUGCAAUCUAUGAAAGAAAUGUGUAAGAUUUUAGAUUGUAUUGAUUAUUAAACUUUUU